UCAUCCACCACAGGGGAUGCCUGCCUGGAUUUCUAUAAGUUGUUUGGGAGAGUUGCUUUUGCAUACCCAGAGGACCUGAAGCGGGAGCUUGCUCAAUACAACCCCAGCCCCCUGACAGAGGAGUCCUUCCUCAAGUUCUAGCAAUGCUUUGCCUCUGUUUCAUUCCCAGAAAGCCUUGCU